rnacentral:tRNA from 1 species
CAAAGGAUAGUUUAAUAAAAAUAUUAGUUUUGGGGAUUAAUGAUAAGAAUUUCUUUCCUUUGA